rnacentral:sRNA from 1 species
GAGCUCUGUCUUUUCUCCUACCCUGGUGCCUGAGCUGUCAGGAGAGGAGAGGGGUAAGGAUGUAUAUUACAGGGAGGCUCUGGGCACCCCAUGGCUGAAACUCAAGUUGUUGGACACACAGCAAGAUUCAUACAAGUGGAAAAGCAGCAGGAUGUGCUGCCUGGAAUUUCCCUCCUAGCACUGUGGGUUGCCUAGCAACGAAAU